rnacentral:tRNA from 1 species
GUAGGUGUAGUUCAGUGGUAGAGCAUGUGCUUAGCAUGCAUGCAAUCUUGGUUCAAUUCUCAGCACCCUCC